GAAUCGAUGAUGACUUCCAUAUAUACAUUCCUUGGAAAGCUGAACAAAAUGAGUGAAAACUCUAUACCGUCAUUCUCGUCGAACUGAGGUCC
ensembl:snoRNA SNORD116 Small nucleolar RNA SNORD116